UUGAACGCUGGCGGCAUGCCUUACACAUGCAAGUCGAACGGUAACAGGUCUUCGGAUGCUGGCGAGUGGCGAACGGGUGAGUAAUACAUCGGAACGUGCCCGAUCGUGGGGGAUAACGGAGCGAAAGCUUUGCUAAUACCGCAUACGAUCUACGGAUGAAAGCAGGGGACCGCAAGGCCUUGCGCGGACGGAGCGGCCGAUGGCAGAUUAGGUAGUUGGUGGGAUAAAAGCUUACCAAGCCGACGAUCUGUAGCUGGUCUGAGAGGACGACCAGCCACACUGGGACUGAGACACGGCCCAGACUCCUACGGGAGGCAGCAGUGGGGAAUUUUGGACAAUGGACGAAAGUCUGAUCCAGCCAUGCCGCGUGCGGGAAGAAGGCCUUCGGGUUGUAAACCGCUUUUGUCAGGGAAGAAACGGCUCGCUCUAAUACAGUGGGCUAAUGACGGUACCUGAAGAAUAAGCACCGGCUAACUACGU
rnacentral:rRNA from 1 species